GUGCCAGCAGNCGUGGUAAUACGUAGGUGGCAAGCGUUGUCCGGAUUUAUUGGGCGUAAAGCGAGCGCAGGCGGUUUUUUAAGUCUGAUGUGAAAGCCUUCGGCUCAACCGAAGAAGUGCAUCGGAAACUGGGAAACUUGAGUGCAGAAGAGGACAGUGGAACUCCAUGUGUAGCGGUGAAAUGCGUAGAUAUAUGGAAGAACACCAGUGGCGAAGGCGGCUGUCUGGUCUGUAACUGACGCUGAGGCUCGAAAGUAUGGGUAGCAAACAGGAUUAGAUACCCUGGUAGUCCAUACCGUAAACGAUGAAUGCUAAGUGUUGGAGGGUUUCCGCCCUUCAGUGCUGCAGCUAACGCAUUAAGCAUUCCGCCUGGGGAGUACGGCCGCAAGGCUGAAACUCAAAGGAAUUGACGGGGGCCCGCACAAGCGGUGGAGCAUGUGGUUUAAUUCGAAGCUACGCGAAGAACCUUACCAGGUCUUGACAUACUAUGCAAAUCUAAGAGAUUAGACGUUCCCUUCGGGGACAUGGAUACAGGUGGUGCAUGGUUGUCGUCAGCUCGUGUCGUGAGAUGUUGGGUUAAGUCCCGCAACGAGCGCAACCCUUAUUAUCAGUUGCCAGCAUUAAGUUGGGCACUCUGGUGAGACUGCCGGUGACAAACCGGAGGAAGGUGGGGAUGACGUCAAAUCAUCAUGCCCCUUACGACCUGGGCUACACACGUGCUACAAUGGAUGGUACAACGAGUUGCGAACUCGCGAGAGUAAGCUAAUCUCUUAAAGCCAUUCUCAGUUCGGAUUGUAGGCUGCAACUCGCCUACAUGAAGUCGGAAUCGCUAGUAAUCGCGGAUCAGCAUGCCGCGGUGAAUACGUUCCCGGGCCUUGUACACACCGCCCGU
rnacentral:rRNA from 1 species